rnacentral:rRNA from 1 species
UGGGGAAUAUUGCACAAUGGGCGCAAGCCUGAUGCAGCCAUGCCGCGUUUAUGAAGAAGGCCUUCGGGUUGUAAAGUACUUUCAGCGGGGAGGAAGAGAGUAAAGUUAAUACCUUUGCUCAUUGACGUUACCCGCAGAAGAAGCACCGGCUAACUCCGUGCCAGCAGCCGCGGUAAUACGGAGGGUGCAAGCGUUAAUCGGAAUUACUGGGCGUAAAGCGCACGCAGGCGGUUUGUUAAGUCAGAUGUGAAAUCCCCGGGCUCAACCUGGGAACUGCAUCUGAUACUGGCAAGCUUGAGUCUCGUAGAGGGAGGUAGAAUUCCAGGUGUAGCGGUGAAAUGCGUAGAGAUCUGGAGGAAUACCGGUGGCGAAGGCGGCCCCCUGGACGAAGACUGACGCUCAGGUGCGAAAGCGUGGGGAGCAAACAGG